rnacentral:rRNA from 1 species
UACGGGGGGGGGCAAGCGUUGUUCGGAAUUACUGGGCGUAAAGGGCCAGUAGGCGGCCAACUAAGUCGGAUGUGAAAUCCCCAGGCUUAACCUGGGAACUGCAUCCGAUACUGGAUGGCUUGAAUUCGGGAGAGGGAUGCAGAAUUCCAGGUGUAGCGGUGAAAUGCGUAGAUAUCGUGGAGGAAUACCGGUGGCGAAGGCGGCAUCCUGGACCGACAUUGACGCUGAACGGCGAAAGCUAGGGGAGCAAACGGG